rnacentral:lncRNA from 1 species
CUAAGGUUCUGGAUGAACGUUUGCUUCCACCAAUGAGAAGCACAUGUGUGAGAUUUGGAAGUUGGAAGUGAGAUGAAGGCCUCCUUCUUCCAAAUGAGCUGCCGGCUCAUCGGUGUUUGCAGCCAGGCUCAGCAUUCCAGUGUCGAGUAAUCAAUCAGCUUUGCCAUCAUCUAUAGGCAGUGACCAAGAUGCAGCAGUCAUUGUGCAGUCACCAAUUUUGGGGGGAACUGAGGCAACUGUGGGACUCAAGCAGUGGAAACAGCAGCAAUUUUCUGGCCUCUGGAUUGUAGUUGUGUGCCUUGAAAUCAAUAUCUAGCAGUGGGCCACUGUCUUCUGCUGCUGGAACCCAACCUACAAUUUUCCAUAAACAGGGAAGAAGACGCAAAAGUAACAGACAUGAAUGUGUAGAAGGUGCGUAAAGUAGAAUUACAGUGCUGAGAGCAACAAUACGCAAAGUAAAAAAUAAGUUUGUAGAUUAGAGAAUGGAGCUGAAGGACAGACGGUUGCAAAAGAAGUCAACACUAACUGAAGAAUACAGUGAAGGGUGUCGCAGAGUAAAAGUUGGAAUUGAAUAUGCAUUCUUGGUUUGAUAGAGAACUUCUCAAGUAAGUUAGUUGUUUAUAUUUGAUUUAGAAGGCAAUGAGA